rnacentral:lncRNA from 1 species
ACUCUGACAACUACUAACAAGACAAUAGACACUGAGCAGAACAAUCAAUAUAAAACAAACAAUUGACUUUAGUGCAUGUAAACAGUUACGACAGUUUCUUCCUUUUUUUUUUUUUUUUUUUUUUUAGACAGACAAGGGGAGGGUUUCCUGUGAUGGGAUCAGUCAGAUAACUGCCUGGCCCCUCCCCCUGAGGGGACUUGGGCUCCUCUUAGCAUUGGCAGGCCGGUAUAAACUUCCGGCUCAGAUCAAGCUAUGCCUGAUGCUGCCUUAAGCCUUAUGGGGUCGCCACAGAACCGCAGAAACUCCUGGAGGGCAGAGGCAUGCCUGCCAUCUUCAUCAUUGCAUUACCACCACCCAACACUAUCGGGGGACCUGCCCUGAUAAUCAGUCUACAGGUGUAUCCAGCAGCUCCAGAGAGACAGCGACCAGCGAGAAGGGGCCAUGAUGAUGGUGGUGGUUUUGUCAAAACGAAAAGGGGGAUAUGUAGGGAAAAGAAAGAGAGAUCAGACUGUUACUGUGUCUACAUAGAAAGGGAAGCCAUAAGAGACUCCAUUUUGAAA